rnacentral:rRNA from 1 species
GAUGAACGCUAGCGAUAGGCUUAACACAUGCAAGUCGAGGGGCGGCAUGGUCUUAGCUUGCUAAGGCUGAUGGCGACCGGCGCACGGGUGCGUAACGCGUAUGCAACUUGCCUCACAGAGGGGGAUAACCCGUCGAAAGACGGACUAAUACCGCGUACACUCUAUGUUGGGCAUCCAAUGUAGAGGAAAUGAAAUUCGCUGUGAGAUAGGCAUGCGUCCCAUUAGCUAGUUGGUGAGGUAACGGCUCACCAAGGCGACGAUGGGUAGGGGAACUGAGAGGUUGAACCCCCACACUGGUACUGAGACACGGACCAGACUCCUACGGGAGGCAGCAGUGAGGAAUAUUGGUCAAUGGGCGAGAGCCUGAACCAGCCAAGUCGCGUGAAGGAUGACUGUCUUAUGGAUUGUAAACUUCUUUUAUACGGGAAUAACAAGAGUCACGUGUGGCUCCCUGCAUGUACCGUAUGAAUAAGCAUCGGCUAACUCCGUG